rnacentral:rRNA from 1 species
UACGGAGGGUGCAAGCGUUGUUCGGAAUUAUUGGGCGUAAAGGGCAGGUAGGUGGUGUGGAAAGACCGCUGUGAAAUCCCUGGGCUUAACCCAGGAAGUGCGGCGGUGACUACCAGACUAGAGUGCUGGAAGGGUGCGUAGAAUUCCCGGUGUAGCGGUGAAAUGCGUAGAUAUCGGGAGGAAUACCAGAGGCGAAGGCGGCGCACUGGACAGCAACUGACACUCAACUGCGAAAGCGUGGGGAGCAAACAGG